rnacentral:rRNA from 1 species
GACCAACGCUGGCGGCGUGCUUAACACAUGCCAGUCGAACGGAAAGGCCCUGCUUUUGUGGGGUGCUCGAGUGGCGAACGGGUGAGUAACACGUGAGUAACCUGCCCUUGACUUUGGGAUAACUUCAGGAAACUGGGGCUAAUACCGGAUAGGAGCUCCUGCUGCAUGGUGGGGGUUGGAAAGUUUCGGCGGUUGGGGAUGGACUCGCGGCUUAUCAGCUUGUUGGUGGGGUAGUGGCUUACCAAGGCUUUGACGGGUAGCCGGCCUGAGAGGGUGACCGGCCACAUUGGGACUGAGAUACGGCCCAGACUCCUACGGGAGGCAGCAGUGGGGAAUAUUGCACAAUGGGCGGAAGCCUGAUGCAGCAACGCCGCGUGCGGGAUGACGGCCUUCGGGUUGUAAACCGCUUUCGCCUGUGACGAAGCGUGAGUGACGGUAAUGGGUAAAGAAGCACCGGCUAACUACGUG